rnacentral:SRP_RNA from 1 species
GCCAGGUAUGGUGGCGCACACCUGUAGUCCCAGCUACUCGGGAGGCUGAGGCAGGAGGAUCACUCGAGCCCAGGAGGUUGAGGCUGCAGUGAGCUACGACUGUGACACCGCACUCCAGCCUGGGCAACAGAGCAAGACCCUGUCUCAA